AUUGAACGCUGGCGGCAGGCCUAACACAUGCAAGUCGAACGAGCGGCGGACGGGUGAGUAAUGUCUGGGAAACUGCCUGAUGGAGGGGGAUAACUACUGGAAACGGUAGCUAAUACCGCAUACCAUCGGAUGUGCCCAGAUGGGAUUAGCUAGUAGGUGGGGUAAUGGCUCACCUAGGCGACGAUCCCUAGCUGGUCUGAGAGGAUGACCAGCAACACUGGAACUGAGACACGGUCCAGACUCCUACGGGAGGCAGCAGUGGGGAAUAUUGCACAAUGGGCGCAAGCCUGAUACAGCCAUGCCGCGUGUGUGAAGAAGGCCUUCGGGUUGUAAAGUACUUUCAGCGAGGAGGCGUUACCCGCAGAAGAAGCACCGGCUAACUCCGUGCCAGCAGCCGCGGUAAUAC
rnacentral:rRNA from 1 species